rnacentral:rRNA from 1 species
GUGCCAGCAGCCGCGGUAAGACGUAGGGUGCGAGCGUUGUCCGGAUUUAUUGGGCGUAAAGAGCUCGUAGGCGGCUCGUCGCGUCGGCUGUGAAAACCCGCGGCUUAACCGUGGGCUUGCAGCUGAUACGGGCGGGCUGGAGUUCGGUAGGGGAGACUGGAAUUCCUGGUGUAGCGGUGAAAUGCGCAGAUAUCAGGAGGAACACCGGUGGCGAAGGCGGGUCUCUGGGCCGAAAUUGACGCUGAGGAGCGAAAGCGUGGGGAGCGAACAGGAUUAGAUACCCUGGUAGUCC